AUGGUGGAAUUCCAGCAUCGUAAUCGAAGUUCCAGAGAUUGAUUGCGGUCAGAAACUUCUGAAUGGUUCUCCCUCUACCUCCGACAGCAGGGAUGGGGUGUUAGUUCAGACAAAAACAGUCAGUGCGAAUGUGAUUAAAAACCUAUCAGAUGAUGGCGAAACGGAGCAAACUGUUCCUUCAUAUGCAGAGGUGGAAAAUGACUAUUGUGAUAAUUACACCAUUAUAAAAGGAAUUGACACGUACAUAUUGAAAGAACAUCAUAGCUGAGAGAGAGAGAGAGAGAGAGAGAGAGGAGGGUGACACAAUUUGAAAUCCAAUGGCUUAAGGCAUCAAACUUUUUUUAAACUGUAUUUUCUGUAUUAUCUGACAUAAAUACUCGGUAAUGUG